rnacentral:rRNA from 1 species
ACCCGGUUUUUUGUCCUUUUUUUUCGGCGGGCCCCCUUCGGCCCCCGGGGGGAUCCGCCCCCGGGCCCGCGCCCGCCGAAGACACACAAACGAACUCUUGUCUGAAGAUUGCAGUCUGAGUACUUGACUAAAUCAGUUAAAACUUUCAACAACGGAUCUCUUGGUUCCGGCAUCGAUGAAGAACGCAGCGAAAUGCGAUAAGUAAUGUGAAUUGCAGAAUUCAGUGAAUCAUCGAGUCUUUGAACGCACAUUGCGCCCCCUGGUAUUCCGGGGGGCAUGCCUGUCCGAGCGUCAUUGCUGCCCUCAAGCACGGCUUGUGUGUUGGGCUCUCGCCCCCCGCUUCCGGGGGGCGGGCCCGAAAGGCAGCGGCGGCACCGCGUCCGGUCCUCGAGCGUAUGGGGCUUCGUCACCCGGUCGGUAGGGCCGGCGGGCCGCCGAAGCAACACAGCGUACCGAUAUAACACGCGGUGGGGAGCGUUGGACCCAGAGGGCCCUCACUCGGUAAGCCCUCUU